rfam:Asian citrus Psyllid, Diaphorina citri - Florida Strain, whole genome shotgun sequence.
GCCAGCGGCGAUAGCACGUUAAAUACAGUUGUUCCCAAUAAAUCACCAAAGUUGAGUAACGUUGCGCGUGGUUAGUAUCCGAAUUGGUGACCAUCUGGGUAAUCAGGUCCUGCUGGCU